AUAAUUCCAGUCAAAAGAUUAACUCUUACCCACAAAAUGGUACAGAUGAGAAAGUGCAAAAGGUAUCUCCCCCACGCAGAAAAGGUUCUAAGGAUGAAAAGUCUGAAAGGCCUGCAAACUGGAUGAAAAGGGAUACCGUUGAAGAAAAAGGCUUGACUUAUGCUUCAGUGGAGAGAGAGAAGUUUGAAAUGAAGAACUCUUAUAAUGAUUCUUCGAGUCCAAAGAUGAACUCUUACGCACGAAAUGAUACAGAUGAGAAAGUGCAAAAGGUUUCUCCCCCACGCAGAAAAGGUUUUAAAGAUGAAAAGUCUGAAAGGCCUGCAAAUUUGAUGAAAAGGGAUACCAAUGCUUCUGAUCUCUCGACCACAAGCUCCAGGCAACAGCAAACCACAGUGAAUCACAACACU
rnacentral:lncRNA from 1 species